GGUGGCUCAGUGGUAGAGUGCUUGCCUUGCAUGCAUGAGACCCUGGGUUCAAUUCCUGAGCACCA
rnacentral:tRNA from 1 species